CAUAGGAACAAUUAGCCAAAAGUGUAGUGUUGUAGAUGUUGCAUCUAGCAAUCAUGACAGCGCAAUCACACUUGUGGCUUGGCUUGGUUGAGAAGUAAAGAAGACAUGCUAUGACUCAUCACUAGUCCCAACAAUCUGUUUGCAUAGGAUUCCGCCAGUGCCAUAAGAUUGUUUGAUAAUUCUUCAAAAAACAAUAGGAUAUAUCACUAGUAUAAAAGUGCUCAAAGCCAGCGG
rnacentral:lncRNA from 1 species